GCUUGUUUUCUGCAAAGGUAGGCGGGUGUCGUAUCGCCAGCUGGCGUAAGAUGAUGAAGUUAAGGACACACAGGACUAUGCCACCCAGACGUCUCAAUCCUCAAAGACCACCCUUGACUGAUGCUGAAAAUCAAGUUAUCGUCAAAAUGUCUAGGCAACAUAGUGCCUGCCUGCUUGAAAGGGGAUGGGGAGUUAUUUCACACAGAAUGCAGAUUUGGUGGUGGAUCAUCGAUGUUAAUACCAUGGGUAGCCACAGCAGGAGAUAUGAGUAAGUGCACCAUAUGGCCAUUGACAUGAUCACAUCUGCAUGGAGCAGAGCAGCUGCAGUGGCUAUGAUUGGAUGGGUACAGGAGGGCCUGCUACAGAGCCACCACUAACACCAAAUGAAGAGUUCCUGUCCACUGUCAGGGAUCCAGACAGCUCCCAGGAAAGUGCAGAACAACAUGUCCUUGACAUCGGUGUGACAGUUUCAGGGAUGGCAAGCAUGUCCCUGGAAGAUCUUCCAGCUAGACUUUGGCAUCUCAGUUGUUGAAUAUUGUUGUCUAGUAAAAUAAUUUAAAUCAAUACGUU